AUGUUGUCUGCUACUAGUAGUGUAGUACUACUUCAGUCGUCAAAUGGUUUUCAGAGUCUUCAUUUUCGUAUUACACAUGCAGUCAUGGUUGCUGUGGCCCAAGUCAAGCUGAAGAGAGUAGAAACACGUACAGUUCUGUUGGUAGUUGUGUCCCAAGAAGCCAUGGAGUGGAUUCUGUACUUCAGGUUCGCUGGCUCAGAACUUGGAAGCGAACAAGUGCCAUGGCGAACUGCUUUGAGCUUGAUGAAGUGCAUAUGA
rnacentral:rRNA from 1 species